rnacentral:rRNA from 1 species
GAUGAACGCUAGCGGCAGGCUUAAUACAUGCAAGUCGAGGGGCAGCAGGUUUGUAGCAAUACAGAUGCUGGCGACCGGCAAACGGGUGCGGAACACGUACAGAACCUUCCUUUAAGCGGGGAAUAGCCCAGAGAAAUUUGGAUUAAUACCCCAUAGUAUUGUUGAGUGGCACCACUUGAUGAUUAAAGAUUUAUCACUUAAAGAUGGCUGUGCGGCUGAUUAGGUAGUUGGCGGGGUAACGGCCCACCAAGCCUUCGAUCAGUAACUGGUGUGAGAGCACGACCAGUCACACGGGCACUGAGACACGGGCCCGACUCCUACGGGAGGCAGCAGUAAGGAAUAUUGGGCAAUGGACGGAAGUCUGACCCAGCCAUGCCGCGUGGAGGAUGAAGGUCCUCUGGAUUGUAAACUUCUUUUAUUUGGGAAGAAACCCGAUUUUUCUAAGUCGGUUGACGGUACCAGAUGAAUAAGCACCGGUUAACUCCGUGCCAGCAGCCGCGGUAAUAC